rnacentral:pre_miRNA from 1 species
UUUGUACUCCCUCCGUCCCAAAAUUCUUGUCUUAAAUUUGUCUAAAUAUGGAUGUAUCUAGUUACAUUUUAGUGUUAGAUACAUCCAUAUCUAAACAAAUGUAAGACAAGAAUUUUGGGACGGAGGGAAUACUAC